GGGACACGUGGUAUCCUGUCUGAAUAUGGGGGGACCAUCCUCCAAGGCUAAAUACUCCUGACUGACCGAUAGUGAACCAGUACCGUGAGGGAAAGGCGAAAAGAACCCCGGCGAGGGGAGUGAAAAAGAACCUGAAACCGUGUACGUACAAGCAGUGGGAGCACCUUCGGGUGUGACUGCGUACCUUUUGUAUAAUGGGUCAGCGACUUAUAUUCUGUAGCAAGGUUAACCGUAUAGGGGAGCCGCAGGGAAACCGAGUCUUAACUGGGCGUUAAGUUGCAGGGUAUAGACCC
rnacentral:rRNA from 1 species